rnacentral:tRNA from 1 species
GGUGUGGUGGCUGAGCGGUAAAGUGCUUGGCUUCUGAACUGGGGGUCCCAGGUUCAAAUCCUGGUAAACUG